CAGUAGCCGCGGGAAUACGGAGGGUGCAAGCGUUGUCCGGAUUUAUUGGGUUUGAAGGGUGCGUAGGCGGCUAUUUAAGUCAGCGGUGAAAGACUCCGGCUCAACCGGGGCAGUGCCAUUGAUACUGGAUAGCUUGAGUGUUGGAGGGGUACAUGGAAUUGAUGGUGUAGCGGUGAAAUGCAUAGAUACCAUCAGGAACACCGAUGGCGAAGGCAAUCCCCUGGGCCUGCACUGACGCUCACGCACGAAAGCGUGGGGAGCAAACAGGAUUAGAUACCCGUGUAGUCCCUGUCUCUUAUAC
rnacentral:rRNA from 1 species